rnacentral:rRNA from 1 species
UCUCCCUGGGAAACGGGUGGUAAUGCCGGAUGCUCCGACUCCUCGCAUGGGGUGUCGGGAAAGAUUUCAUCGGUAUGGGAUGGGGUCGCGUCCUAUCAGGUAGUCGGCGGGGUAACGGCCCACCGAGCCUACGACGGGUAGCCGGCCUGAGAGGGCGACCGGCCACAUUGGGACUGAGAUACGGCCCAGACUCCUACGGGAGGCAGCAGUGGGGAAUAUUGCACAAUGGGCGCAAGCCUGAUGCAGCGACGCCGCGUGCGGGAUGACGGCCUUCGGGUUGUAAACCGCUUUUGAUCGGGAGCAAGCCUUCGGGUGAGUGUACCUUUCGAAUAAGCACCGGCUAACUACGUGCCAGCAGCCGCGGUAAUACGUAGGGUGCAAGCGUUAUCCGGAAUUAUUGGGCGUAAAGGGCUCGUAGGCGGUUCGUCGCGUCCGGUGUGAAAGUCCAUCGCUUAACGGUGGAUCUGCGCCGGGUACGGGCGGGCUGGAGUGCGGUAGGGGAGACUGGAAUUCCCGGUGUAACGGUGGAAUGUGUAGAUAUCGGAAAAGAACACC